rnacentral:rRNA from 1 species
GACGAACGCUGGCGGCGUGCUUAACACAUGCAAGUCGAACGGAAAGGCCCUGCUUUUGUGGGGUGCUCGAGCGGCGAACGGGUGAGUAACACGUGAGUAACCUGCCCUUGACUUUGGGAUAACUUCAGGAAACUGGGGCUAAUACCAGAUAGGAGCUCCUGCUGCAUGGUGGGGGUUGGAAAGUUUCGGCGGUUGGGGAUGGACUCGCGGCUUAUCAGCUUGUUGGUGGGGUAGUGGCUUACCAAGGCUUUGACGGGUAGCCGGCCUGAGAGGGUGACCGGCCACAUUGGGACUGAGAUACGGCCCAGACUCCUACGGGAGGCAGCAGUGGGGAAUAUUGCACAAUGGGCGGAAGCCUGAUGCAGCAACGCCGCGUGCGGGAUGACGGCCUUCGGGUUGUAAACCGCUUUCGCCUGUGACGAAGCGUGAGUGACGGUAAUGGGUAAAGAAGCACCGGCUAACUACGUGCCAGCAGCCGCGGUGAUACGUAGGGUGCGAGCGUUGUCCGGAUUUAUUGGGCGUAAAGGGCUCGUAGGUGGUUGAUCGCGUCGGAAGUGUAAUCUUGGGGCUUAACCCUGAGCGUGCUUUCGAUACGGGUUGACUUGAGGAAGGUAGGGGAGAAUGGAAUUCCUGGUGGAGCGGUGGAAUGCGCAGAUAUCAGGAGGAACACCAGUGGCGAAGGCGGUUCUCUGGGCCUUUCCUGACGCUGAGGAGCGAAAGCGUGGGGAGCGAACAGGCUUAGAUACCCUGGUAGUCCACGCUGUAAACGGUGGGUACUAGGUGUGGGGUCCAUUCCACGGGUUCCGUGCCGUAGCUAACGCUUUAAGUACCCCGCCUGGGGAGUACGGCCGCAAGGCUAAAACUCAAAGGAAUUGACGGGGCCCCGCACAAGCGGCGGAGCAUGCGGAUUAAUUCGAUGCAACGCGUAGAACCUUACCUGGGUUUGACAUGGAUCGGGAGUGCUCAGAGAUGGGUGUGCCUCUUUUGGGGUCGGUUCACAGGUGGUGCAUGGCUGUCGUCAGCUCGUGUCGUGAGAUGUUGGGUUAAGUCCCGCAACGAGCGCAACCCUUGUUCACUGUUGCCAGCACGUUAUGGUGGGGACUCAGUGGAGACCGCCGGGGUCAACUCGGAGGAAGGUGGGGAUGACGUCAAGUCAUCAUGCCCCUUAUGUCCAGGGCUUCACGCAUGCUACAAUGGCUGGUACAGAGAGUGGCGAGCCUGUGAGGGUGAGCGAAUCUCGGAAAGCCGGUCUCAGUUCGGAUUGGGGUCUGCAACUCGACCUCAUGAAGUCGGAGUCGCUAGUAAUCGCAGAUCAGCAACGCUGCGGUGAAUACGUUCCCGGG